GGAAGAUGCCGGUUCAUUGGUGCAUGCUUUCUUAUUUGGGCAAGUGGAGCCCUUGAUCCUGAGAGAAACGAAUCUGGUGAUCUUGUAACAUCUGUAAAAAGGGGUGUAUGGGCAAUGAUUGCAGUUAUUCUUGCUUAUUGCUUGCUGCAAGCUCCUUCCACG